GAUGAACGCUGGCGGCGUGCCUAAUACAUGCAAGUCGAGCGAACAGACGAGGAGCUUGCUCCUUCGACGUUAGCGGCGGACGGGUGAGUAACACGUAGGUAACCUACCUAUAAGACUGGGAUAACUUCGGGAAACCGGAGCUAAUACCGGAUAAUAUUUCGAACCGCAUGGUUCGAUAGUAAAAGAUGGCUUUGCUAUCACUUAUAGAUGGACCUGCGCCGUAUUAGCUAGUUGGUAAGGUAACGGCUUACCAAGGCAACGAUACGUAGCCGACCUGAGAGGGUGAUCGGCCACACUGGAACUGAGACACGGUCCAGACUCCUACGGGAGGCAGCAGUAGGGAAUCUUCCGCAAUGGGCGAAAGCCUGACGGAGCAACGCCGCGUGAGUGAUGAAGGUCUUCGGAUCGUAAAACUCUGUUAUUAGGGAAGAACAAACGUGUAAGUAACUGUGCACGUCUUGACGGUACCUAAUCAGGAAGCCACGGCUAACUACGUG
rnacentral:rRNA from 1 species